rnacentral:lncRNA from 1 species
CUAAAAACCGCUCGAUCUCAAAUCGAGUAUUUCAGGCUGCAUACCGCUAAGCCGAAACUUCGAUAAAUCAUAACUUCCUCAUACGAAGUCAGAUUUGGGCGUUCUAUAUAUAUUCGGAAACCUCGUUUCAACUACUACAACAUUAUCCAAAGAUAUUAAGUUUAUUUUACACUUAAAUUUUGACGCUUAUUUUUAUUCUUAAUUAAUCAAACCACAUAAUUAAGCAAUUAAGCACAAAACACAUAAUACUCAAAUAAUACAAUCUUAUUAUUUCAAAACGGGUUACAAAGGUUAACCUAGACUAUUACAUUGCUAAAAAUGGCAAGCCCGGAAACACAGGCGUUACAAUUCUCUCCACCUUAGAAUGAUUCCGUCCCCGGAAUCACACAUCAACAAACAAAUGCGGAUAGCGACUCAACAUGUCACUCUCCGUCUCCCAGGUGAGAUUCGGCCCAUUCGUGUGUUUCCAUCGGACAAGCACUAACCCAACCAUUUUGCGUCGCAACUUCUUAGUCUUUCGGUCAACAAUUGCCUCUGGUUCUUCAAUCAACCUUUUGUUCUCAUCAAUUCUCAAUUCAGAAAUUGGAAUUAUAUCGGGAACUUCUCCCGUGAACUUCCUCAAAUAACACACAUGAAAAGUGUUGUGAAUUCCAUUCAGUUCUUCGGGUAAUUCGAGCUUGUAAGCUUGGUUCCCAAUCCUCUGAAGAACUUUAAACGGUCCAAUAAACCUUGGACUCAACUUUCCCCUUUUACCAAAUCUUAUAAGUCCCUUCCACGGCGAGACUUUAAGCAAAACCGAAUCUCCAACCUCAAAAGUCAUCGGUCUUCGCUUCUUGUCAGCAUAGCUCUUUUGACGAUCUUGAGCUGCUAACAUUCUUUCCCUAAUUAUUUUCAACUUUUCAGCAGUUUGAUGAACCAUCUCCGGUCCCAUAAACUGCUUUUCCCCAGCCUCAAGCCAACAAGACGGCGUACGACACUUCUGUCCAUACAAAGCUUGAUAAGGUGCCAUCUUAAUGCUCGAGUGAAAACUAUUAUUAUAGGAAAAUUCUACCAACGGUAAAUGUUCAUCCCAAUUACCUAGGAAUUCCAAGGUACAUGCUCUCAGCAUAUCUUCAAGUGUUUGUAUUGUUCUUUCACUCUGACCAUCAGUCUGCGGAUGGUAAGCUGUGCUUAAACAUAACUUGGUACCCAUUUCCUCUUGUAGACUUUUCCAAAACCUUGAGGUGAAACGGCUAUCACGAUCCGAUACAAUCGUUAACGGAACACCGUGAAGCCUCACAAUUUCCUUCACGUAAGAAUUCGCAAGCUUUUCCAUAGACCAUUUCUCCCUGGCCGCUAUGAAAUGCGCACUCUUAGUGAAUCGAUCAACGACCACCCAAAUCAUGUCGUGACCAUUCUUUGUUCUGGGCAGUUUAGUGACAAAAUCCAUAGCAAUGUCUUCCCACUUACCCAUAGGCACAGGCAAAGGUUCUAAACUCCCGUACGGUUUCUGAUGUUGUGUCUUGACUCUCGCACAAGUCACACACUCGGCCACAUACUUUGCAACAUCAAGCUUCAUCGUCGGCCACCAGUAGUAGGGUUUCAGGUCCCUAUACAUUUUAGUGCUACCCGGAUGAAUCGAGUACAUGGUCUUGUGAGCUUCUUCCAUCAGAAGAUCUCUAAUUCCUCCUGACUUAGGUACCCAAAUACGAUCUUGGAAUACCUUCAGUCCAUGACCGUUAGUACCAAACACCAACGUUUUACCCAAACGUUCCUCCUUUCGGUCAUUUUUCUCAGAAGCUUCCUCUUGAGCUUUCUUUAUACUUUCCACAAUGGUCGAGACAACUUCAAUUCUCAACGCUCUUGGCCUCUUCCUUUCAAGAUUGACCUUCCGACUGAGAGCAUCAGCAACAACAUUAGCUUUACCGGGGUGGUAAAGUAUCUCGCAGUCGUAGUCUUUAAGUAAUUCUAGCCAGCGUCGUUGCCUCAUAUUCAAUUCUUUCUGAUUAAAGAGGUAUUGGAGACUCUUAUGAUCAGUGAAAAGUUUGCACUUCGUGCCAUAGAGGUAAUGCCUCCAUAUUUUCAGAGCGAAAACUACCGCUGCCAACUCCAAAUCAUGAGUCGGGUAAUUCUUUUCAUGCUCUUUCAGCUGUCGAGACGCAUAUGCUAUCACCUUUUCUCUUUGGGUCAAAACACAACCCAAUCCAACACCAGACGCAUCGCUAUAAACAGCGAAGUCUUCAACUCCAUCGGGUAGAGAAAGUAUCGGUGCCUCGCAUAGCUUCUUCUUUAACUUCUCGAAUGCUUCUUUAUGCUUCUCACUCCAAGCAUAAGUAGCUCCUUUGUGGGUCAAAGCUGUUAAUGGAGUAGCAAUCGAAGAAAAGCCUUGGAUAAACCUUCGGUAAUAUCCGGCUAAUCCUAAAAAGCUUCGAAUCUCCGUGGGACUUUUCGGUUGUUCCCACUUCGUCACAGCUUCGAUCUUCGCUGGAUCAACCAUUAUCCCUUCUUGGUUGACCACGUGACCCAAGAAUUGGACUUCACGAAUCCAAAAAUCACAUUUGGAGAACUUCGCAUAAAGCUUCUCCUUCUUCAAAACUUCUAACACUUCUCGCAAGUGUCUGCCAUGCUCCUCCUGGCUUUUCGAGUAGAUCAGAAUGUCGUCUAUGAACACUAUCACGGAUUUAUCAAGGAAAGGAUUACAAACCCUAUUCAUCAAAUCCAUGAACGCUGCUGGAGCAUUGGUUAGUCCAAACGACAUAACCAAGAACUCGUAGUGUCCAUAUCUAGUUCUGAAUGCAGUCUUCUCGAUAUCUUGCUCUCUUACUUUCAGCUGAUGAUAUCCUGACCUAAGAUCGAUCUUCGAGAAAUAGCUCGAACCUUGCAAUUGAUCAAACAGGUCAUCAAUCCUCGGCAACGGAUAUCUAUUCUUUAUUGUUGCCUUGUUCAGCUCUCUGUAAUCGAUGCACAUUCUCAUACUUCCAUCUUUCUUCUUUACAAAUAACACCGGAGCUCCCCAGGGCGAUGAACUAGGUCUAAUGAAACCUUUGUCCAAUAACUCCUGAAGUUGCAUCAUUAGCUCCUUCAUCUCCGUCGGUGCUAAUCGAUAAGGUGCUUUUGCUAUUGGCGUGGUUCCUGGUAACAAGUCUAUUCUGAACUCCACUUGUCUAUCAGGUGGUAAUCCAGGAAGAUCCUCGGGAAAUACUUCCGGAUAAUCACACACCACUGGAAUGCUCUGCAUCACCUUCUUUUCUUUCUUAGCAUCAAUCACGAAUGCUAAAUAUGAUGUACAUCCCUUGGUCAAACACUUUCUGGCUUUCAUUAGAGAAAUGAUUCCAGAAUUCACUCUGCGUUUGUCCCCAUACACCAUAAACGAAUCUUUUCCAGGCGGGUUUACUUUAACUAUCUUCUUCUUGCACAAAAUUUCGGCAUCAUUGGCGCUAAGCCAAUCCAUUCCCAAGACGAUGUCGAAACCAUUUAGUUCGAUAGGCAAUAAUUCCUCGAGAAACUUAUUCCCAUUAAGGUCGAUCAAGACGUUUUUCAUACGAUGGCUAACAGGUACAAACUUGCCACUAGCUACUUCGACUAAUAAAGCAUUAUUUAGUCUAUCAACAGGCAAAGCUAGCUUUCUACCAAACUCAUGCGAAAUAAAGGAGUAGUUGGCUCCAGAAUCAAACAAUAUAUGAGCAGGUAAUUCGUUUACGAGAAAGGUACCUGAAGCGACAUCAGCUUCAUCUUUCGCAGCCUCAAGUGUCAUCUGGAAGGCUCUCGCCUUCGGCUUUGGUGGAAUGUUGGGCCUAGCUGCCUCCUUCUUCUUCGGACAGUCUUUCAAAAUAUGCCCCUCUUCAUUACAACCAAAACACAUCCUUUUGUUGUUCGGACAUUCAUUGGCAAAAUGUCCAACCUUUCCACACUUGUAGCAGGUCACAUCCUCGCUACAUUUCCCAAAGUGCUUUUUCUUACACUUAUCACACCACUUUGCUUCGCCUCCUUUUCCUCCAAACUUUUUCGAAUCAGAUUUCGAAAAUUUGCUCUUCUUACUGGAACCAGAUGUUCCUUCAAACUUCCUUUUCUCACCAACCUCAACCUUGACGGUGGUUCUCCCCUUGAUCAUGUUCUCCACAGACUUGGCAGCCCAGAUAGCUGCCUCUAGAGUAAGUGCCUGACGUACCGGCACCUCGUACUCCCAUGGAAGUCCCUUCGCAUACCGAUCCACCUUUGUCAGCUCGUCUGGAACGAUACGCAAGGCAAACUCCAUCUUAUCGGUGAAGUUAUUGGUGUAUUCAUCAACUGACAUGCUACCCUUCGUCAAUGUCAAAAACUUAUUCUCCAACUCCAACAGAUUUUGAGCCGAGCAGAACUUGCGCUUGAACUGCACCAAGAACUCUGCCCAUGACAAUUGCAGUGGCUCAUUAGGGCUUAAGGUCUUCCCUAGAGUGUUCCACCAACGAACGGCUCCACCUUGGAAUUGACGCACUGCAUAGAUAGUCUGCAACUUGCCUCUACAGCCACCAGUCAUGAAGGCUAACUCCAUUUCGGAGAUCCAAUCCAUAACCCCAAUUGGAUCCUCCUUUCCAUUGAAGGUCGAUGGUUUACAAGUCAAAAAGUCCUUGUACUUGCAUCCCAUUCCAUCAUUCCUUCCAUCAUGGUUAUCUUGCCUAACUAUCGGUGGGUUGGCUUGACCAAUAGACCCACUGAAGUUUCCACCUUCCGAGUGCCCUUCAUUUAAUUCAGGCUCUUCCACACGAAUUGACAAUUCAUCAUGAUUCUGUUGAAGCAACCGCCUAGUUUCAUCCAUCUGUCGAUCCAACAUCUCUUGAAUCAUCAUUUGCACACCAGCCAUGGUUAUUAGCUUAGGUGCUGCUGCUACGACAGGAAUUUCUUCAAUCACUGGUGGCUGAUUCCAGUUUUCAUCAGCAUUUCCAACUCCACUUCUUGCUCUCACCAUUUUGAUCUACACACCGAAUAAGGUGAAAUUAGAUCCUCAAUCAUGAUAGAUAUUCAAAUCAUCCUUAUCACUCCGAAACGUUUACAUGCUAGUUCUAAUAUCGUAGACGUACGCUUAGAAUCCUACACACAUAAGGUUUCUAGAUCCGGUCGGCAACAGACCAUAGAUCCGAACAAAUAAUAUCAUAUAUGGCAACAUAUAACAUUUAGCACAUAAAGCAUUUUAGGCAACUUUCCUAAAAUAAACUAGUGCUCGUGUCUAAAACUUAACAGACACGCAUCUCAAAACUUCACUUAGCAUUCUAAGUUUAAGUCUAGAAAUCCUACAAAUUCCUAGUUCGCUUAAACUAAUGCUCUGAUACCAACUGUGACAUCCCCAAAAUCUCGGCCAGAAAAGACCGAUUUUCAUUUAUGCUUUUAAAUAUUUUCAGAGUAAAUCCUUUUGAUUUGAAAGAGUUGCGGAAUUUGUUCCCAAAAACAAAACAUGAUAAAACAAUGUUUACCAAAGAAUUUCAUAAAAGAAAUGUAUUUUCAUUAUAUAAUCAAAACUCGGGGUGUCAUGUUCCGAUACAGACCAAUAAGCAUAAACGAUAACAUUACAAGUCAUUCAACAAAUAUAUACAUAUACAAACUUGUAAACAAAACAACUUGAUGGUUCAUCCAUCUUAUGCCCUUGCGCCACUUCCUGUAAUACAAAUAAAACUGAGUGGGUCAGGCUUGGGAGCCUGGUGAGCAUAUAGGGUUUUCAACCCACAAUAAAUAAUUAUAUUUAAUUUCCACCAACCAACAAUAACCCAAUUACCCAUUCCCGUUAUUCUCACUUUAUGUCCCUAAGACAACUAACAUAAGGGACCUAGUCUAAGAAUAUUUCAUCGGGGCGACAACACAUGCUUCGGGGGUUCCUCAGCAAUAUAAGUCAAAUAAGGCAACCAUGAGGGGGAUGGAGUACAGCGAAUGAACACCCAAGUUCAUUAACACCUACAGGUGGCGAACCUGCUAAUGUUUCCACAAGACUAUCUAGAAAAGUCCGUGGUCGUCAUCUAAACUCCGCUAGAUGACUAAAUCAAACAACAACGAGGCCUCUCAUCUGUUUAUUACACACCAACUAUCUACCCAUGUUCUACCCAACAUAUUAGUAGAUAAAAAUAUACAUUUUUAUACAUAGUUUAAAAACCUGUAUAGCAUGCUUUAAUCAAUACAUAUUCCACAUAACAGAUGAGGCACACACACACAAAACACGUAUUUCGUAGAGAGUAAAUCUUAUCCAUGAGAUAAGAGAAAGUGAAUAGACAUUCACACACAUAACCACAAAAUUAUACACAUAAUACGUAUUCCGUAUAAAAUACUUCAUAAUUAUGCGUUAGAAGAAAGUAACUACACACUCACACAUAUAAACAACAAUAUACGUAAUACACUCAAACCAUACUUGUAUUAUUAUCGUUUUUAUGAAAGGUAGUAUACACUCACUUGAUCAGAAGAUGAUCGGACAGCACUACGGCUUGCAGAAGUAGUAUUCUUUAGCAGAUCUGAAAGAUCUCUACAAAAAUCGAACUUCUCGCGGGCAGAGCUUCGGCUCGGGAAUCGCACUUCUCGGGAUCUUCGGGAGCACGAAGCUUCCUUCUUAACUUGGAUAUGAGAUCCGGGGCGUCGGGAUGGCUUCGGGGGUUUACACGCAGAGCUUCGGCAUAAAAUGGAGGAGAAAUAAGCAAAUAAGCCCGGAACCCUCGCAUCCUAUUUAUAGGAGGCUGGAGCCUCGGAGUACGCGGGGCGUACGCCUGUAGGCAGGGCGUACUGGUCCAAAAUCGUCAUUGUGUUCGUCAUCCGAAGAACUCGAGUGUGAAGGUCGUCAUGCUUCGCUGUACGCGGGGCGGACAGCAGUAUGCUGGGCGUACUUCGGAUAUGCCCGGUGACUCCCCCUUCGGAUAAUAUCGGGUUUUAUAAUUAAAUUUAAAUACAAAUUAUUUAAUAAACUUCAGAAAUUCAUAUCUUCUUCAUACGAACUCCGUUUUCGACGUUCUUUAUAUCCACGCAUAGGUGAGACUACGCUCUACAACUUUCGUUUGGACUCUGUUGGCUAAUUUUAAAUUUAUUUUUAUUAUUUAUUUUUAAUAGGCCGGGACAGAAAAACUUCGUUAUAAAAUCGUAACUUCUUCGUUUAACGUCCGUUUUCGCCUAACUUUUCAUCGCUUCGAUGCCAACAACGAGACCUUCGAUCCUCGUUUAGAUUGCUUCGGCUACAAACCGCUCGAUCUCAAAUCGAGUAUUUCAGGCUGCAUACCGUUAAGUCGAAACUUCAAUAAAUCAUAACUUCCUCAUACGAAGUCAGAUUUGGACAUUCUAUAUAUAUUCGGAAACCUCGUUUCAACCACUACAACAUUAUCCAAAGAUAUCAAGUUUAUUUUACACUUAAAUUUUGACGCUUAUUUUUAUUCUUAAUUAAUCAAACCACAUAAUUAAGCAAUUAAGCACAAAACACA